GGGUCAGUAGGUUGGUCGUGCCACCGGUACGUACUGGUCUCACUGAUUCCUCCUUCCUGAAGAACCGUAAUGCCAUUAUUCUGGUGUUGCGGGGAAACAGGACUGUUACUUUGAAAAAAUUAGAGUGUUUAAAGCAAGCUAACGCUUGAAUACAUUAGCAUGGAAUAAUGAAAUAGGACGAUCGAUCCUAUUUUGUUGGUUUCUAGGAUUGACGUA
rnacentral:rRNA from 1 species